rnacentral:rRNA from 1 species
GACGAACGCUGGCGGCGUGCCUAAUACAUGCAAGUCGAGCGGACAGAAGGGAGCUUGCUCCCGGAAGUCAGCGGCGGACGGGUGAGUAACACGUGGGCAACCUGCCCUGCAGAUUGGGAUAACUCCGGGAAACCGGGGCUAAUACCGAAUAACAUUGGAAACCUCAUGGUUUCCUUUUAAAAGGCGGCUUCGGCUGUCCCUGCGGGAUGGGCCCGCGGCGCAUUAGCUAGUUGGUGAGGUAACGGCUCACCAAGGCGACGAUGCGUCGCCGACCUGAGAGGGUGAUCGGCCACACUGGGACUGAGACACGGCCCAGACUCCUACGGGAGGCAGCAGUAGGGAAUCUUCCGCAAUGGAAGAAAGUCUGACGGAGCAACGCCGCGUGAGUGAAGAAGGUUUUCGGAUCGUAAAACUAUGUUGUCAGGGAAGAACAAGUACGGUAGUAACUGCCCGUACCUUGACGGUACCUGGCCAGAAAGCCACGGCUAACUACGUGCCAGCAGCCGCAGUAA